AACGAACGCUGGCGGCAUGCCUAACACAUGCAAGUCGAACGAGACCUUCGGGUCUAGUGGCGCACGGGUGCGUAACGCGUGGGAAUCUGCCUUUGCUUCGGAAUAACAGUUAGAAAUGACUGCUAAUACCGGAUGAUGUCUUCGGACCAAAGAUUUAUCGGCAAAGGAUGAGCCCGCGUAGGAUUAGGUAGUUGGUGGGUAAAGGCCUACCAAGCCGACGAUCCUUAGCUGGUCUGAGAGGAUGAUCAGCCACACUGGGACUGAGACACGGCCCAGACUCCUACGGGAGGCAGCAGUGGGGAAUAUUGGACAAUGGGCGCAAGCCUGAUCCAGCAAUGCCGCGUGAGUGAUGAAGGCCUCGGUCGUAAGACUCUUUACCUAGGAGUGAUAAUGACAGUACCUGGAGAAGUAAGACUCCGG
rnacentral:rRNA from 1 species